CCUCUGGUAGCUCAGUUGGUAGAGCGGUGGACUGUAGAUCCAUAGGUCGCUGGUUCAAAUCCGGCCCGGAGGA